rnacentral:rRNA from 1 species
CAUGGCUAGCGCAUGAGCAUGAUCUUGAACCUGACAGAUGGAAAGCUUGCUCCCUGAUGUUAGCGGCGGACGGGUGAGUAACACGUGGGUAACCUGCCUGUAAGACUGGGAUAACUCCGGGAAACCGGGGCUAAUACCGGAUGGUUGUUUGAACCGCAUGGUUCAGACAUAAAAGGUGGCUUCGGCUACCACUUACAGAUGGACCCGCGGCGCAUUAGCUAGUUGGUGAGGUAACGGCUCACCAAGGCGACGAUGCGUAGCCGACCUGAGAGGGUGAUCGGCCACACUGGGACUGAGACACGGCCCAGACUCCUACGGGAGGCAGCAGUAGGGAAUCUUCCGCAAUGGACGAAAGUCUGACGGAGCAACGCCGCGUGAGUGAUGAAGGUUUUCGGAUCGUAAAGCUCUGUUGUUAGGGAAGAACAAGUGCCGUUCAAAUAGGGCGGCACCUUGACGGUACCUAACCAGAAAGCCACGGCUAACUACGUGCCAGCAGCCGCGGUAAUACGUAGGUGGCAAGCGUUGUCCGGAAUUAUUGGGCGUAAAGGGCUCGCAGGCGGUUUCUUAAGUCUGAUGUGAAAGCCCCCGGCUCAACCGGGGAGGGUCAUUGGAAACUGGGGAACUUGAGUGCAGAAGAGGAGAGUGGAAUUCCACGUGUAGCGGUGAAAUGCGUAGAGAUGUGGAGGAACACCAGUGGCGAAGGCGACUCUCUGGUCUGUAACUGACGCUGAGGAGCGAAAGCGUGGGGAGCGAACAGGAUUAGAUACCCUGGUAGUCCACGCCGUAAACGAUGAGUGCUAAGUGUUAGGGGGUUUCCGCCCCUUUAGUGCUGCAGCUAACGCAUUAAGCACUCCGCCUGGGGGAGUACGGGUCGCAAGGACUGAAAACUCAAAAGGG